AGUGAACGCUGGCGGUAGGCCUAACACAUGCCAGUCGAACGGCAGCACAGUAAGAGCUUGCUCUUACGGGUGGCGAGUGGCGGGCGUGAGAGGAAUAUAUCGGAAUCUACUUUUUCGUGGGAGAUAACGUAGGGAAACUUACUCUAAUACCGCAUACCACCUAGGGGUGAAAGGAGGGGAUCUUCGCACCUUGCGCGAUUGAAUGAGCCGAUGUCGGAUUAGCUAGUUGGGGGGGUAAAGGCCCACCAAGGCGACGAUCCGUAGCUGGUCUGAGAGGAUGGUCAGCCACACUGGAACUGGGACACGGUCCAGACUCCUACGGGAGGCAGCAGUGGGGAAUAUUGGACAAUGGGCGCAAGCCUGAUCCAGCCAUACCGCGUGGGUGAAGAAGGCCUUCGGGUUGUAAAGCCCUUUUGUUGGGAAAGAAAAGCAGCAGGUUAAUACCCCGCUGUUCUGACGGUACCCAAAGAAUAAGCACCGGCUAACUUCGUG
rnacentral:rRNA from 1 species